rnacentral:tRNA from 1 species
GGUUCUAUAGUGUAGCGGUUAGCACGUCUGCUUUAUAUGCAGAAGAUCCUGGGUUUGCACCACAGUGGAACCA